UGUGCAAAGGUAGCAUAAUCAAUUGGCUUGUAAUUUAAGUCUGGUAUGAAUGUAGUUUUAGGCUAAAGCUGUCUCUUUAUGUUAAUUGAAAUUUACUUAGCCGGUGAAAAUACCGGCGGUUAUAUAAUAGACGAGAAGACCCUAGAAAUUUUUUGAAAAGUAUAAGUUAUAUAUUGGAUUUUGUUGGGGCGACAGAGUAACAGUUAACUUACUCUAUUUAAUGUGAAUUAAUUAUGGAAAUGUAAAUUACUCUAGGGAUAACAGCAUAAUUCUAUUAGUGUUUGUGACCUCGAUGUUGGACUAGGAAAGAUAAUAUUCAGAAGAUAUUAUUAUAGGCUCUGUUCGCGCC
rnacentral:rRNA from 1 species